CAGGUGGUCAGGUAGAGAAUACCAAGGCGCUUGAGAGAACUCGGGUGAAGGAACUAGGCAAAAUGGUGCCGUAACUUCGGGAGAAGGCACGCUGACACGUAGGUGAAGUGAUUUACUCAUGGAGCUGAAGUCAGUCGAAGAUACCAGCUGGCUGCAACUGUUUAUUAAAAACACAGCACUGUGCAAACACGAAAGUGGACGUAUACGGUGUGACGCCUGCCCGGUGCCGGAAGGUUAAUUGAUGGGGUCAGCG
rnacentral:rRNA from 1 species